rnacentral:rRNA from 1 species
AUUGAACGCUGGCGGGAUGCCUUACACAUGCAAGUCGAACGGCAGCACGGGAGCAAUCCUGGUGGCGAGUGGCGAACGGGUGAGUAAUACAUCGGAACGUGCCCAGUAGUGGGGGAUAACCCGGCGAAAGCCGGACUAAUACCGCAUACGACCUACGGGUGAAAGCGGGGGAUCGCAAGACCUCGCGCUAUCGGAGCGGCCGAUGUCAGAUUAGCUAGUUGGUGGGGUAAAGGCCUACCAAGGCGACGAUCUGUAGCUGGUCUGAGAGGACGACCAGCCACACUGGGACUGAGACACGGCCCAGACUCCUACGGGAGGCAGCAGUGGGGAAUUUUGGACAAUGGGCGCAAGCCUGAUCCAGCCAUGCCGCGUGCGGGAAGAAGGCCUUCGGGUUGUAAACCGCUUUUGUCAGGGAAGAAACGCUCCGGGCUAAUACCACGGAGUAAUGACGGUACCUGAAGAAUAAGCACCGGCUAACUACGUG